CCAGGUACCUGGGAAGUGCUCAGUCCACCAAUGGUGCAUUCCUGGCUCCGGAGGGAAACCAGGCAGAGAGGGCACAGAGAAGCCAGCUUCGGAAUGCUUAGCUGUUCUCCAGCUUACUGUGUUCCAACUCCCGUUCCUGUCCGUUGGAGUGAAGGUUGAUUACCUUGGGCGUGUGUCGUGGUGAAGGAAGCGGACAAGCAGAAGGAGCAGCUGACAUACAGAUCGAUGGGAACAUUUCUGGAGCGCUUGAGUACAUAACUUAGCCACAGAUAUAAGAAAGGCGAGUAGCAGUGGCACAGGCCACUUAUCCAUAACUGAGUGAGUACAUUUCCAGUUGAAUGUCCACUGUGUCUCAGCCCAGCCCCAUCAACCUUCUCCAAAGACCAUCCUACCUCUGUCCCCACAGCCCACCAUGACAGGUUACUAGCACAGCUACACUGUGCGGCUGUCUAUGUGAUGUGUAUGUGUGUGCUUUAUGUGUAAAAAGAGCACGUAUUGCCCUAAUGUGGCAUCACUCCCUUUGAGAAGCAAGCCUCAGGCAAGUCCCCCUAUGGCCUCACCAGGCAAACUCAACGUCAUUCUUUUGCCUCAUGGCAGCCUCAAAGAACAGGAUGAUGGAAGAGCCUAUGAAAGACUGAGAAA
rnacentral:lncRNA from 1 species